rnacentral:rRNA from 1 species
AACGAACGCUGGCGGCAUGCCUAACACAUGCAAGUCGAACGAGACCUUCGGGUCUAGUGGCGCACGGGUGCGUAACGCGUGGGAACCUGCCCUUAGGCUCGGAAUAACUCCCCGAAAGGGGUGCUAAUACCGGAUAAUGUCUUCGGACCAAAGAUUUAUCGCCUUUGGAUGGGCCCGCGUUGGAUUAGCUAGUUGGUAGGGUAAAAGCCUAUCAAGGCGACGAUCCAUAGCUGGUCUGAGAGGAUGAUCAGCCACACUGGGACUGAGACACGGCCCAGACUCCUACGGGAGGCAGCAGUGGGGAAUAUUGGACAAUGGGCGAAGGCCUGAUCCAGCAAUGCCGCGUGAGUGAUGAAGGCCUUAGGGUUGUAAAGCUCUUUUACCCGGGAUGAUAAUGACAGUACCGGGAGAAUAAGCACCGGCUAACUCCGUG